GAUGAACGCUGGCGGCGUGCCUAAUACAUGCAAGUCGAGCGAAUGGAUUAAGAGCUUGCUCUUAUGAAGUUAGCGGCGGACGGGUGAGUAACAUGUGGGUAACCUGCCCAUAAGACUGGGAUAACUCCGGGAAACCGGGGCUAAUACCGGAUAACAUUUUGAACCGCAUGGUUCGAAAUUGAAAGGCGGCUUCGGCUGUCACUUAUGGAUGGACCCGCGUCGCAUUAGCUAGUUGGUGAGGUAACGGCUCACCAAGGCAACGAUGCGUAGCCGACCUGAGAGGGUGAUCGGCCACACUGGGACUGAGACACGGCCCAGACUCCUACGGGAGGCAGCAGUAGGGAAGCUUCCGAAAUGGACGAAAGUCUGACGGAGCAACGACGCGUGAGUGAUGAAGGCUUUCGGGUCGUAAAACUCUGUUGUUAGGGAAGAACAAGUGCUAGUUGAAUAAGCUGGCACCUUGACGGUACCUAACCAGAAAGCCACGGCUAACUACGUGCCAGCCGCCGCGGUAA
rnacentral:rRNA from 1 species